rnacentral:lncRNA from 1 species
CCAGGAGUGAAAUUCCUGAGUUAAGGCACACUUAUGCUAAGGUUUUGUAGAUGCUCCCAAACAGUUUUCUUCCAGAGUAUUUUGAGCAUUGCCUUUUGAGUUGCUUCUAUUUAGUAAAAGUCUUCCUUGUGAUCAGGGGCAGGUUUUCUUGUUUUAUGUUCUUUUGUUUUUUUAGAGGGCAGGUCCUGGAUCAGAUUAGCAUUCAUGAAUAUGGAAUGAAAAGAAACCCAUUUGUUGAUUGAAGUCAUUCACUUGAUCUCUGAAGUUUCCUACAGAUGGGAACUAAGAGCCGGAUUUAAGACCCAAUGUGUUCAGUUAUAGAAACAACAGAGAGGUAGUUUAACAUUGGAGUUAAGAUAUCUGGCUUUUUAUUUUUUAUUGCCUUCAGAUUAUUUUACCAAUAUGUCUUAGUUUCUCUCUCUGUAAACUAAAGCGCACCAUAUUUAUCUCCUGGGUUUAUUUUAACGAUUAAAUGUGAUUAUGAAUAUAAUGUGCUUGGCACUCUGUCUGAUACAUAUUAUUUAACUACCCUCCAUUCUGCUCCAUCCACCUCCAAAGCCUUUUAGUUGCUUCUCAGUUUAUUCACUUACCUAGCUGACUUUAGGAAUCCUUAAGUGAGAGCUAACUAGCUGUUGGUUCUUUAUUACCUUUCCCACCAUCUUUUUUUUCCCUCAGUUGGGACACUUCUUUGCUAAAGCCAAAAUUUUAGCCAUUGACCUUAGUAGAAGUUUCAUUAUGUUUCUUUUUGACUAGUGAUUCAACUAAUCCUCCAAAAGUGGUUUUUCUUCCACCUUCUUUCAAGAGGCAUAAGGAAAACAGUAUUCCUUUUAGUCUUGAUGAGAUAACUGACAGCUGGUGUUUGAAGUUGACUCUUCCCAGAUAGUUCAAUUUUUAGAGUAUCAAAUAUAUUCAGCUUUAUAUAGUAACUUGGUAUUUUAUGAAAUUUAAGGAAAUCAUUGACCCCUCAAAUUAGAGUAUAUUUCCUGCCUUUCCUUUCUUCUUAGGAGGAUGAGGGGGAAAAAAUGACAGUACAGGAUAUCUGAUUAAAUAUCACCAAGUAUAAUCCCACUUUUGAAGCAGUUUUCUGAGGCUGUUAUCUGAAGAAUAGAUUCAUUAUAUAAUGCUCUUACUCUCUGCCCCCAUUUUCCCCCUUCAGACAGUAAUCCAUUGAAUUUUUAACUGAGAUACAAUUGACAUAUAACAUUGCGCAACUUGUAUCACAGCACGUUGGUUUGAUACAUGUAUGUAUUGCACUAUGAUUGCUACAGUAGCGUUAACUAACACCUUUAUCAAGUAAUACAUUGAACUGAAAGCACAUCAAAAUGAGAUGGUAUAAGGAAGAUUGAGAAUAUAAACAGAAUUUUCUGAGAACUUUAAGAGUAGCAUUUGUUCACAAGAGAAGGAAAAAUUAACCGAUUGAUUAACCAGUAAAUGCUGUAUCGGCUAUUUUAAAGUUUUACUUAUUAAUUAAUAGAACUCUUUGGGACUAGGAAAAAAGACUCUCUAGAAUCUUAUUUCUGGACUCUAAUAAAUCUUUCCCGCCUACUAGGGUCUUUAUGGUUCUCACAUCAGUUGUCUUACAAAUCUUUCAUUCAUUCAUUUAUUCAACAAACAUUUAUUGAACUCUUACUAAAUACUUGGUACCAUUCAAGUUUGGGGAUAUAACAGUAAAGAAAAAGCAGAUUAAACUCCUGCCCUCAUUAAACAUUUAACAGUAAAGAAAAAGUAGAUUAAACUCUUGCCUUGUGGAGGUCGCAGACAGUAAACAAAUGACUAAGUAGACUAUGUAGACUAAGUAGACUAUCAGAGGUGUUAAAUACUUAGGGAGAACGAUUUUAAAAAGAAGAGGAAUGUAGCAGAUCUUAACAGGAUCUUUAUACAAUUGUAGAGAAUUUAGAUUUUACUGGACUGAGAUGAGAAACCACUGGAGGGUUUUGCGUAUAGGAAUGAUAUGCUCUGAUACUUGUUUUUAUCCUGAGCACUCAGGUUGCACUGUUGAAAAAAAAGAUGUAGGAAAGAGUUAGAAGAGAGAAGCGGGAGACUGGUUAGAGGCAGCUGCAGUAACCUGGGUUGCUUUGACCAGGCAGUGGCAGUGGAGGUGGUAAAAAGAGGUUGACUUCUGGACAGACUUCAGAGGUAGAGAGGACAGGAUGUGCUGGUGGGGUAUCUGAGAUAAGUGUAAUUGAUUACAUGUUUUCAUUGAAUGUAAUGGUGGCAGGGAAGGAUAGCUGGUUGUGCAGCUUCUAUGCUUCAGGGAACAUCUUGGAGACAGAUGAUGCUGUGGGUGACUGGGGAAUGUUACUAUUACAUGCUUUAUUCUGGAAAUGCUUGGAUUACAAUACCUCUGCAAUAUUUGUUCUAGCAGAACAGGUUUUGGUGCCCCUGGGAACAUACAAGGUAAGAGCUAUAGAGGAUGGAAUAAUUACGAAAGAUGAUCAAUGGGGGGGAUAAUAAACAUGUUAAAUCUAGUACUUUUAAGUACAAGUACAUAUUUACUGCAGACAAUCUCAUAAUGUCUGUGUGUGAAUUUAUAUGUAUGAGAAAUGUAUAUUAUUUUACAUAUCUGUGGUAUUUUGCUUCAAUAAAAUCAGACCCACAUUACUUUGAAGACUCACAAAGACUUUACAUACCUUGAAGCUGUUCAGUGAGCCCCAGUAUUUAGUCAUUGUGUGUUUAGUUCUCAUAAUCAGAACAAAGACCAAUGACUUAACGUUGUAGGGUGAAAAAUUUUUUU